GAUGAACGCUGGCGGCGUGCCUAAUACAUGCAAGUCGAGCGAACAGACGAGGAGCUUGCUCCUCUGACGUUAGCGGCGGACGGGUGAGUAACACGUGGAUAACCUACCUAUAAGACUGGGAUAACUUCGGGAAACCGGAGCUAAUACCGGAUAAUAUAUUGAACCGCAUGGUUCAAUAGUGAAAGACGGUUUUGCUGUCACUUAUAGAUGGAUCCGCGCCGCAUUAGCUAGUUGGUAAGGUAACGGCUUACCAAGGCAACGAUGCGUAGCCGACCUGAGAGGGUGAUCGGCCACACGGGAACUGGGACACGGUCCAGACUCCUACGGGAGGCAGCAGUAGGGAAUCUUCCGCAAUGGGCGAAAGCCUGACGGAGCAACGCCGCGUGAGUGAUGAAGGUCUUCGGAUCGUAAAACUCUGUUAUUAGGGAAGAACAAAUGUGUAAGUAACUAUGCACGUCUUGACGGUACCUAAUCAGAAAGCCACGGCUAACUACGUG
rnacentral:rRNA from 1 species